GAUGAACGCUGGCGGCGUGCCUAAUACAUGCAAGUCGAGCGAACGGACGAGAAGCUUGCUUUUCUGAUGUUAGCGGCGGACGGGUGAGUAACACGUGGAUAACCUACCUAUAAGACUGGGAUAACUUCGGGAAACCGGAGCUAAUACCGGAUAAUAUUUUGAACCGCAUGGUUCAAAAGUGAAAGACGGUCUUGCUGUCACUUAUAGAUGGAUCCGCGCUGCAUUAGCUAGUUGGUAAGGUAACGGCUUACCAAGGCAACGAUGCAUAGCCGACCUGAGAGGGUGAUCGGCCAAACUGGAACUGAGACACGGUACAGACUCCUACGGGAGGCAGCAGUAGGGAAUCUUCCGCAAUGGGCGAAAGCCUGACGGAGCAACGCCGCGUGAGUGAUGAAGGUCUUCGGAUCGUAAAACUCUGUUAUUAGGGAAGAACAUAUGUGUAAGUAACUGUGCACAUCUUGACGGUACCUAAUCAGAAAGCCACGGCUAACUACGUG
rnacentral:rRNA from 1 species